UACAGAGGUCUCAAGCGUUGUUCGGAUUCAUUGGGCGUAAAGGGUGCGUAGGCGGCGCGGUAAGUCGGGUGUGAAAUCUCGGAGCUUAACUUCGAAACUGCAUUCGAUACUGCCGUGCUUGAGGACUGGAGAGGAGACUGGAAUUUACGGUGUAGCGGUGAAAUGCGUAGAUAUCGUAAGGAAGACCAGUGGCGAAGGCGGGUCUCUGGACAGUUCCUGACGCUGAGUCACGAAGGCCAGGGGAGCAAACGGG
rnacentral:rRNA from 1 species